rnacentral:rRNA from 1 species
GUUAGGAAUCUUCCACAAUGGGGGCAACCCUGAUGGAGCAACACCGCGUGCUGGAUGAAGGCCUUCGGGUCGUAAACAGCUUUUGUAUACGAAGAAUAUGACGGUAAUAUACGAAUAAGGGUCGGCUAACUACGUGCCAGCAGCCGCGGUCAUACGUAGGACCCAAGCGUUAUCCGGAGUGACUGGGCGUAAAGAGUUGCGUAGGCGGCUUAUUAAGCGAGUAGUGAAAUCUGGUGGCUCAACCAUCAACACAUUGCUCGAACUGAUAGGCUUGAGAAUGGUAGAGGGAGUUGGAAUUUCUUGUGUAGGAGUGAAAUCCGUAGAUAUAAGAAGGAACACCAAUGGCGUAGGCAGACUACUGGACCAUUUCUGACGCUGAGGCACGAAAGCGUGGGGAGCGAACCGGAUUAGAUACCCUUGUAGUCC